rnacentral:lncRNA from 1 species
CUCGUGACAGUAGGACAGAUGCUUCUCACAGGCAAAUACUGCCUUCGUUGCAGGAAGUGUAGCGAAGCAGCAGUACAGCGCAUGUUCUGACAACUCUCUGCAAGCAAAUGAUGAAUUCUCUGCAGUAAAACGAGUCUUAGGGCCCGGCGCUAGGUUUCUACAAAGCUUGCCUCGUCGAGAACCAGGAUUCCCUUAUACAGGUUGGCAAUGUUGCUUUAACGGCUGUCGUGGUGAAUGGAUGACCAAAACGCAGACGGGAUGUGAAUGCUCAUCUUUCUAUUUAAUUAGAAUAAAAUGAACACCAAAAAACAAGAAACAAUAGACCGCCAGGAACCGUUAGCAGGCUAACAUAAAGCAGUGCUAAAAACAACAACCCACAAACCCCAGGUGAAAAACACACUCCUAAUAUAUGACUCCCAAUCAGGAACAACGAUAUCCAGCUGUUCCUGAUCAGGAGUCACAAGACUAACACAGAAACAGACAUACUAGAAAACACAUACAGACUUCUUCUGCCACGUCCUGACCAAAAUACUACACAACUACUCCCUCUGCUGGUCAGGACGUGAC